UGAGAGCCUUGCCGUUUCCAGCUGAUGACUGGUUGAGGAUCACCAGCAGCGCUGCAGUUCAAAGUCAUGUUGGCGCCGAUAUAUCCUACAAUCUUCGCAGGUGGCUUAAC